rnacentral:rRNA from 1 species
GAUCAUGGCUCAGGAUGAACGCUAGCUACAGGCUUAACACAUGCAAGUCGAGGGGAAACGAUAUUGGAAGCUUGCUUCCGAUAGGCGUCGACCGGCGCACGGGUGAGUAACGCGUAUCCAACCUGCCCACCACUUGGGGGAUAACCCUUGCGAAAGUAAGACUAAUACCCAACUGAUAUCUCUAGAAGACAUCUGAAAGAAGAUUAAAGAAUUCAUCGGUGGAUGGAUGGGGAGUGCGU